rnacentral:rRNA from 1 species
CCUACGGGAGGCAGCAGUGGGGAAUAUUGCACAAUGGGGGAAACCCUGAUGCAGCGACGCCGCGUGAGUGAAGAAGUAUUUCGGUAUGUAAAGCUCUAUCAGUAGGGAAGAAGAAAGACGGUACCUGACUAAGAAGCCCCGGCUAACUACGUGCCAGCAGCCGCGGGAAUACGGAGGGGGCAAGCGUUAUCCGGAUUUACUGGGUGUAAAGUGAGCGUAGACGGUUGAGAAAGUCUGAAGGGAAAGCCCAGGGGUCAACCCUGGGACUGCUUUGGAAACUGUGUGGCUUGAGUACUGGAGAGGUAGGUGGAAUUCCUAGUGUAGCGGUGAAAUGCGUAGAUAUUAGGAGGAACACCAGUGGCGAAGGCGGCUUACUGGACAGAAACUGACGUUGAGGCUCGAAAGCGUGGGGAGCAAACAGGAUUAGAUACCCGGGUAGUC